AGCUUUGUGCAGUAGCAAUAUCAUAGCCAGUGAAGUUUAUCUGAGGCGCAAUUAUUGCUACUUGAAAACUUUUCCCAAUACUCC
rnacentral:snRNA from 1 species